rnacentral:rRNA from 1 species
ACCCCAGUGAGAAGGCCCUCAAAACCCCUCCCGGACUUGAGGAGCAGGUAUCAGGCACGAACAUCAGCCCAUCACACCUCGUACAGCCACACCCCCACGGGCAUUCAGCAGUGAUAAAUCUUAAGCUAUAAGUGAAAACUCGACUUAGUUAAAGUAAAAGAGAGUUGGUUAACUUCGUGCCAGCCACCGCGGUUAUACGGCGAACUCAAGUUGAUAAAUCAGCGGCGUAAAGCGUAGUUAAGGUGCAACAACAAAUAGGAUUAAAUAACCCCAAAGCAGUUUAAUGCACUCGGGACCACUAAAUACAUCAACGAAAGUAUUCCUAACUAAUCUGAUGCUACGAAAGCUAGAACA